AGCCACCUUGUUGGGGGUAAUCGGUUGCAAAGGAGUGAGUCCAGCAGCCUACAAGUUUGCAAGGAGCUGGGAAGAACAACAAGAGGCAGCCAGAGCUUGUCUCUCCAAGGCAGCCAAGCGCAUGAAGAAGUGGGCUGAUAAGAAGAGGCGCCCACGAGAGUUCCAGGACGGGGACCUAGUGCUGGUGAAACUCUACCAGCAUGGCAAAGGAUCAGCGGGACAGCAUCGAGGACUCUUAAGGAGGUACGAGGGUCCCU
rnacentral:misc_RNA from 1 species